CCUACGGGAGGCAGCAGUGAGGAAUAUUGGUCAAUGGACGAGAGUCUGAACCAGCCAAGUAGCGUGAAGGAUGACUGCCCUAUGGGUUGUAAACUUCUUUUAUAUGGGAAUAAAACGUUCCACGUGUGUGAUUUUGUAUGUACCCUAUGAAUAAGGAUCGGCUAACUCCGUGCCAGCAGCCGCGGUAAUACGGAGGAUCCGAGCGUUAUCCGGAUUUAUUGGGUUUAAAGGGAGCGUAGGUGGAUUGUUAAGUCAGUUGUGAAAGUUUGCGGCUCAACCGUAAAAUUGCAGUUGAAACUGGCAGUCUUGAGUACAGUAGAGGUGGGCGGAAUUCGUGGUGUAGCGGUGAAAUGCUUAGAUAUCACGAAGAACUCCGAUUGCGAAGGCAGUUCACUGGACUGCAACUGACACUGAGGCUCGAAAGUGUGGGUAUCAAACAGGAUUAGAUACCCCAGUAGUC
rnacentral:rRNA from 1 species